AACGAACGCUGGCGGCAUGCCUAACACAUGCAAGUCGAACGAGACCUUCGGGUCUAGUGGCGCACGGGUGCGUAACGCGUGGGAACCUGCCCUUAGGUUCGGAAUAACUCCCCGAAAGGGGUGCUAAUACCGGAUAAUGUCUUCGGACCAAAGAUUUAUCGCCUUUGGAUGGGCCCGCGUUGGAUUAGCUAGUUGGUAGGGUAAAAGCCUACCAAGGCGACGAUCCAUAGCUGGUCUGAGAGGAUGAUCAGCCACACUGGGACUGAGACACGGCCCAGACUCCUACGGGAGGCAGCAGUGGGGAAUAUUGGACAAUGGGCGAAAGCCUGAUCCAGCAAUGCCGCGGGAGUGAUGAAGGCCUUAGGUUUGUAAAGCUCUUUUACCCGGGAUGAUAAUGACAGUACCGGGAGAAUAAGCUCCGGCUAACUCCGU
rnacentral:rRNA from 1 species